UUCCUGUUUUAGCCCAACUCAAUGCGCUGAAUUUACGUCUGUCGGUCUUAGGCAGUGUGUAAGGUGUUUAUUUAUUUAUUUUAAUUUUGUACUUUAUGACAGCUGUAUUACGGCUGAUAUGCAAGAGCGUGUGAGCUGAUCAAGGAGUGAGACAAGUGUUGAGAGCAAAGCAGCACAGCGGCAGCACUCUGGUCACAAGGAUCCGUGGUAGAGGCAGCAGCAGCAACACUAUCAGUCACAGCGCAGGCAGCAUCGGCAGCAGAAGCAGCGCAUUCUCCUCUGUUUCUCUCUCUUCUUUCUGGAGUUGUUUCUUGCUCAGAGGACAAACGGCAAGGAAGUCACAGGAGAAAGUGAUCCAGGGCUGAUAGCUGCUAUAAAAAACCCAAACGCAGACCUGGCUGCCCCCAUGCCUAUCGAAUUUGUUUGCAAAAUCAAGUUUGCAGAGGAGGAUGAGAAGCAGAAAAACAAGCAGGAUGGGGACAAGGAGAGUCUGAUCGAGGAGAGCUGUGCACCUCCGGCCAAGGACUUGGCUGGGUUUGCUAACUCCUGCACCCUACAUGGGAUUAAUCACAUCUUUGUCUCUGGUCGUCUUGGCAUCCGGCAGACUCUGUGGGCGCUUGCCUUUCUCACUUCACUGGCACUGUUUGUUUACCAGGCGGCAAAGUGUGCUAUCUCCUACCUGGAGCACCCCCAUGUCACAGCCCUGAAUGAAGAGGCGACCCCAGAGAUGGUUUUCCCAGCCGUCACCAUCUGCAACAUCAACCGCUUCCGCUUCUCCGCGCUCACUGAUGCCGACAUCUACCACCUGGCUAACUUGACGGGACUGCCCCCCAAAAACAGGGACGGACACAAGCCCACAGAUCUCAUGUAUCCUGCCCCUGACAUGCAGGACAUCUUCAACAGGACGGGACAUCAGCUGGACGAGAUGCUCAUGAGCUGCAACUUCAGUGGGCAGAACUGCUCAGCGGAUGACUUCACUGUGGUUUACACCAGAUAUGGGAAAUGCUACACCUUUAAUGGAAACAAGACGACGUCCAGGAAAAGCAAGCAAGGUGGAAUGGGAAAUGGGCUGGAGAUCAUGUUGGAUAUCCAGCAGGAUGAAUAUCUGCCAAUAUGGAGAGAGACAAAUGAGACAUCUCUGGAGGCGGGGAUCCGAGUUCAGAUACACAGUCAGGAUGAGCCUCCCUACAUUCACCAGCUGGGCUUCGGUGUCUCUCCAGGCUUCCAGACUUUUGUUUCAUGUCAAGAGCAAAGGUUGACCUACCUGCCCCAGCCCUGGGGGAACUGUCGCUCCAGCAGCAAUGAGAAGUUCCCAGGAUACGACACGUACAGCAUCAGUGCCUGUCGCCUGCUCUGCGAGACCAAUGAGGUCGUGCGAGUGUGCAAUUGCAGGAUGGUGCACAUGCCCGGAACGGCUGAUAUCUGUCCUCCUAGUAAAAUCAACUGUGUUGACAAAGCACUCGCACAGCUCCAAAAGACCAGUGGGGACACCUGUCCAUGUGAGACGCCCUGCAAUCUCACCCGUUACGGUAAAGAGCUCUCCAUGGUCAAAAUCCCCAGCAAGGGCUCGGCUCGCUAUCUCUCCAGGAAAUACGCCAAGUCCGAAGACUACAUCCGGGACAACUUCCUGGUCCUGGACAUCUUUUUUGAGGCUCUAAACUAUGAAACAAUAGAGCAAAAGAAAGCCUACGAUGUUGCAGGUUUAUUAGGUGACAUUGGUGGACAGAUGGGUCUUUUCAUUGGAGCCAGUAUCCUGACCAUCUUAGAAAUACUUGAUUAUAUCUAUGAGGUAAUCAAGCAACGAUUACAACGUCUACUGAGGCCGCAAAAAGAGGAAAAGAAGAGCAAGCAGCAACCGCAGCCCAGCACUGUGGCAACAGUGGGUCUGGAGGAGAUGGAAACAGAGGAGCCCAAUGCCAUGACACGGAGUCACCCAGAGGGGGCGUACGCCAACACAAUGCUCCCCAACCACCACCACCACCGUCACCAUCAUCACACUGGACACCACGGGGUGUUUGAGGACUUCACUUGCUAGAGGCAGCCAUACUUUUUCCAUCCUUUCGUUUGCAUUGACAACUAAAGAGGAGGCGCCGUGUGCGUCGCCAUCAAGAAGAGACCUUCUGCAUAUGUGCCAGUUCUUUGCUGUCAUCAGUGAAAAAGCUCCAGCCAAAGUCCAACACCAAAUUUGUGCUGCUAACAAACCACGUGUGUACAGUAAAAAAAGGCACAAAUUGGACACCGCUUUUUUUUUGUUGUUUUUUUAUUUUGUCUGGGGACCACUUUAGCUGUAUCUCUGAGAAGUCGGGCACUUUGUGUUCAUAGGACCAGUUUUUGUUGAUGCCAUACAAGAAAACAAGAGGAGGACUGCAUGACCCCUUAAUCCAAUUUAUACAAAAAAAAAAAAAGAAAAAAAGAAAAAUGUGAUUUAUUCAUUUCUAUCUCUAAAUCCACCUUGGUCCAUUUUUCCAAAAGCUAUUGCCCCGACUUCCACGGAGAACAAACUGUGCCACUGCAUCAAGCCAUUGCAAUAUCAUAAAUUAUAUAACCAUUUAAAGAGAUACUAAGAUCUAUAUGUUCUAUAUUGUAUACAAGAUAAAACCUUCUAAGAUAAAUCUCUUUUGUGCUAUAUUCAAUCUACACUCAACAAAAAUAUAAAGGCAAGACUUUUGCUUUUGUUCCUAUUUUUCAUGAGCUGAACUCUAUCUCCAUGUGUACAAUACAGUUCCUGCACGUUUUUGGAGUGGCCUUUUAUUGUGGCCAGCCUAAGGCAGACCUCUGCAAUAAUCAUGCUGCCUCGUCUGCAUUUUGAUAUCUCGGUACAGGAGAAGUGCUCACUGACACAGGUUCAUUCCAUCAUGGCUUUUUUUAAAAUAUAUUAAUAAAUCUUGCUGUUUUGUGGUUGAAUAUAGCCUAUGAUUUGUCAAAAACAUGCAUAUUUUCUUAUUUUUGGCCUAAAUUUGUUUGCCAAUGGUCGGACCCCAAAACAGAGACACGUACACCGAGGUGUGGAGAAAAUGUUGAAUCCAAAAAUGUACUCCCAACGGAGUAAGCAAAAACAUACAACACAAAACCCAAGUACAGCGAAGCCACGCUAAAAAAUGAGAACACAAGACGCUGCUGGAAAAAAAGCCAAGCAGGUGAAAAUACUAAACACACAACAGGAACCAAAAGCGCUGCUGGAAAAAAAGCCAAGCGGGGAAGGAAUGCUAAACGCAGAAUAAAUACUCAUCAGAAUGCAAGGAUAGCAAACGACCAGACAAGAGCAACACAUGAGAAUGCACAACUAGAGGGAGGUUGAACGAGGAGCGAGUGAAGUCGAUGUAACAAUCUGGCAAAGAGUGAGACUCCCAGCAAGGCUUAAGAGGGCCUGAUUGUAAUUGCUCUCAGGUGUAUGCAGGUGGCUCCGCCCCGGCAGGACCAGCAGUGCACUGCAAGAGAGAGCAGACAGGCGGCAGCAGAGCAGUACCAGCAGAACAUGACAAAAUGAAGCAUUUUUGAGCAUAAAUAUAAAUAAAAAACAAAUAUAAGGCACUCAGAAGACGCAUUCAAAGACGUUGUGAUGCUAUGUAGUAUUCUAUACUGGUCAGUAGGUGUCAGACUUGAUCGCCGGAACAACAGGCUUUUAUUGCAGGUUUGAAUUAUCUCACAGCAGGCACAAUAAUCCCUAACACGGGCUGCUGUUGUGGCCGUAACCCACACCGAGCUAAAACUCAACUCUGAACCCCCGACGUCACUUCCUGUCUGCGCCACCAGAACACGUUUACAACAACACACAAAAGCACAAGUUUUAUGUCUUAUGUCUUAUUUUCUCUUACUAUGUCUACUAUAUUGGGUAAUACAGAAGUAAAGAUGACUAUGGGGUACUAUUUCAUGUCUAGAGGGCUCUAAAAAUGUUUUUUUAAACAUUUUUACAAGGUCAUAGACAGGUUUUCUAUGCUCUAACUGCAAAAAUAUACAAGUACACAAAAAUCCAUAAGGAAUCCUACUUUGUGGAAAUUCACUUAUCACGGCCGGGUGUGAAAGCGAGUCACUGCGAUAAACGAAGGAUUACUGCAGACAUAUUUGUCAACAAUAUUUGAAAGAGAUGGGCCUUUUGUGUGCAUAGAAGAAGUUUUAACUCAUGAACAAUGGGAGCAAAAACAAAUUGCGUUUAUAUUUUCGACAAGUGUUAUUACAAGGAAUACGGGAGCUGAGCUGUCAGUGCUGACGGAAGCGGGAAUCUUUCCACGUGAUACACGUCGUCUGACUUGUGGUGAAGGUGUUAGUGAGUAGCGUUGUACAUUGUAACAUGAACAUUGUAAUACUGUCAAAUCCAAUGUGGAAAAUGAAAGCUUCUGUUUUAAUGGUUGUAGUUUAUAAUGCAUUAAUAUAUGACUUCAGUAAUGCUUUUGUUAUUUAUACAUUUUAGAAAGGUAAUUUUAUAUGCGAUCACGAUUGUAGCAAUUACUGUACACUUAAAAUCUGCAAAUGAGCAAGAAUAUCAAUACAUUUGUACAGGUAACAAAAAUACUAUGGAUUGUGAAUAUUAUUUCUUUAUACUGUAUGCUUUUUUUUUAAACACGUAACAUCAAUAUUUGCACUUGAAGGUGGUGAAAUUUGCUUUUUCUUUGGCUUUUUUUGUGUGAUGCCACCACAGAAGGGCACCAGUGACGGCAAAGGGAAAACCUGUGGUGGUGAUGACGGUAAUUCUGGAAAGCGGCACAAGUAGCAAUCAGCAAAGUUAUGGGAGCACCUGGAGAGAACCAGAGCAGGCAAACAGAGAACAUCUAAACUCCAAAAAGCAGGUUUGAACCUAAAACCCUCUUCUGCGAUAGUGCAAACCACUCUCAAAUCUUUUACAGUGGAACCUCUGCUAGCGUCAAUAAUCCGUUCCGGAAGGUCCUAAUAUGUACUUUAACCGAAUCUAUUUUUUCCAAAUCCAAUUAAUCCGUUCCACACCCAAAAAAUGUUAAGAUAAAACCAGAAAAAAAGUGUGUCAUGUGCAGAAAACAAUUAGAAAUGAAAGAAAUGGAUGAAUGUACCGUACACUUAACGUCACUUUUAUGUUUGGUGAAGACCUUUGUCACAAAAAUGGCAAGGGAGGUAGGUGAGUCAUGAUUUUUUUUUUAAAUAUUAAAAACUAUAACAUGAAAUAAAAAUGAAUAUUUGUCCAUUGAGCUGUAAUGUAAAUGUAUUUCCUGAACGUUUCCAUCCAUCCAUUUUCUAUACCGCUUCUCCUCAUUAGGGUCGCAGGGGCAUGCUGGAGCCUAUCCCAGCUGACUUCGGGCGACAGGCGGGGUACACCCUGGACUGGUCACCAGCCAAUGGCAGGGCACAUAUAGACAAACAAGCAUUCACACUCACAUUCAUACCUAUGGACAAUUUAGAGUCACCAAUUAACCUCACAUGCAUGUUUUUGGAUGUGGGAGGAAACCGGAGUACCCGGAGAAAACCCACGCACGCAUUUUCUUUGCUGAAUUUGCACAUUUCUUGACCAAAUACUGGGUAGAAACCCAAGAUGAGGCUGCUACGAGCGUCUCCUCUCGGCUUCGCGCGCAAGCCCUGCCUACCGUCCGAUUGCACUCAAUGACUGCGCUGACGUGGAUGAUGGCACCUGCCGGUUUCUGUUUGUCAGCAUGUCGCCAUUAAUAUAAUGUAAUGUAAUAUUAAAAAAAGACAUAAAUGGGACAAAUACGUACUUUUUUUGUUAGCCUCUUAAUAAGCAACCUGUAUUAACGUAGAAAAGGUACAAAGGAGUCAGUGUCAUGAACCUACCUCACCGCAUGUUACUGAUCUACACGGACACCAACUUCGCGAGUUAUUUCUUGAAUUCGAGAGCGUUUCUUACCGUCUUUAUCGACAUACUGGUACUUGCCACUCUCUUUGGCUCCAUUGUAAGUUAUUGUGCAGCCGUGAUCAACAACAAAAGCCGAGACGUGUGGUGUACCGGUGUUAGUUAGCAAAGAACUACGUCGGGUGAGUGAAAGCAGGUUCAAUGCUAAUAGGCUGCUAACAGGACCGUUAAGUGAUUAAAAUGCGUUACAAACACAGUUGGGCUCACACAAGUGUAUUAAUAACAAGAUUAUACGUGGACAAUUUUAGCGCUAUAAAAGGGGCGCACGCCAACCGAGGGUCCACUGUAUUUGCUUGACUUUGGACUGACCGGCAUGAAAACUUGCAAUAGCGGCUAUGCUUUGUCUAUCACAAAAAAUUGCAAUCUACCCCUUAGUGCAAAACCCAGAUAAAGAUCCCAAUCCAUGUCAGAACAGACAGGUGCAGAGAAAGAGCCGUGCUGUGCCACUGCUGGCCACGCGUCAACACCUGAUCAUGAAAACUGGCUAAACUACAUGGACAACAAGGCCCUGUUCUUGCAGCAUAGUGGUCAAAUA